rnacentral:rRNA from 1 species
CCUACGGGCGGCUGCAGUGAGGAAUAUUGGUCAAUGGACGAGAGUCUGAACCCGCCAAGUAGCGUGAAGGAUGACUGCCCUAUGGGUUGUAAACUUCUUUUAUAUGGGAAUAAAAUGUUCCACGUGUGGGAUUUUGUAUGUACCAUAUGAAUAAGGAUCGGCUAACUCCGUGCCAGCAGCCGCGGUAAUACGGAGAAUCCGAGCGUUAUCCGGAUUUAUUGGGUUUAAAGGGAGCGUAGGUGGAUUGUUAAGUCAGUUGUGAAAGUUUGCGGCUCAACCGUAAAAUUGCAGUUGAAACUGGCAGUCUUGAGUACAGUAGAGGUGGGCGGAAUUCGUGGUGUAGCGGUGAAAUGCUUAGAUAUCACGAAGAACUCCGAUUGCGAAGGCAGUUCACUGGACUGCAACUGACACUGAGGCUCGAAAGUGUGGGUAUCAAACAGGAUUAGAUACCCUUGUAGUC